UAUUUUUGUAUGUGUCAAGCUUUUCUCCCUUCUCUUCUCCUUGUCUUUGUUGUUGUUUUCGUGUAGUGUUUAUUUAUUUUUGGAAAAUGAAAAGGCAACGGAUCAGUUAAAUAUGCCGAAGCAGUGAAAAGCAGGUGUAUGUAAGUGUUUUUCACUGUUUCGUAUUUGUACAAAAUAAAAACGAAAAAAGAG
rnacentral:ribozyme from 1 species